rnacentral:rRNA from 1 species
GACGAACGCUGGCGGCGUGCUUAACACAUGCAAGUCGAACGGAAAGGCCCUGCUUUUGUGGGGUGCUCGAGUGGCGAACGGGUGAGUAACACGUGAGUAACCUGCCCUUGACUUUGGGAUAACUUCAGGAAACUGGGGCUAAUACCGGAUAGGAGCUCCUGCUGCAUGGUGGGGGUUGGAAAGUUUCGGCGGUUGGGGAUGGACUCGCGGCUUAUCAGCUUGUUGGUGGGGUAGUGGCUUACCAAGGCUUUGACGGGUAGCCGGCCUGAGAGGGUGACCGGCCACAUUGGGACUGAGAUACGGCCCAGACUCCUACGGGAGGCAGCAGUGGGGAAUAUUGCACAAUGGGCGGAAGCCUGAUGCAGCAACGCCGCGUGCGGGAUGACGGCCUUCGGGUUGUAAACCGCUUUCGCCUGUGACGAAGCGUGAGUGACGGUAAUGGGUAAAGAAGCACCGGCUAACUACGUGCCAGCAGCCGCGGUGAUACGUAGGGUGCGAGCGUUGUCCGGAUUUAUUGGGCGUAAAGGGCUCGUAGGUGGUUGAUCGCGUCGGAAGUGUAAUCUUGGGGCUUAACCCUGAGCGUGCUUUCGAUACGGGUUGACUUGAGGAAGGUAGGGGAGAAUGGAAUUCCUGGUGGAGCGGUGGAAUGCGCAGAUAUCAGGAGGAACACCAGUGGCGAAGGCGGUUCUCUGGGCCUUUCCUGACGCUGAGGAGCGAAAGCGUGGGGAGCGAACAGGCUUAGAUACCCUGGUAGUCCACGCUGUAAACGGUGGGUACUAGGUGUGGGGUCCAUUCCACGGGUUCCGUGCCGUAGCUAACGCUUUAAGUACCCCGCCUGGGGAGUACGGCCGCAAGGCUAAAACUCAAAGGAAUUGACGGGGCCCCGCACAAGCGGCGGAGCAUGCGGAUUAAUUCGAUGCAACGCGUAGAACCUUACCUGGGUUUGACAUGGAUCGGGAGUGCUCAGAGAUGGGUGUGCCUCUUUUGGGGUCGGUUCACAGGUGGUGCAUGGCUGUCGUCAGCUCGUGUCGUGAGAUGUUGGGUUAAGUCCCGCAACGAGCGCAACCCUUGUUCACUGUUGCCAGCACGUUAUGGUGGGGACUCAGUGGAGACCGCCGGGGUCAACUCGGAGGAAGGUGGGGAUGACGUCAAGUCAUCAUGCCCCUUAUGUCCAGGGCUUCACGCAUGCUACAAUGGCUGGUACAGAGAGUGGCGAGCCUGUGAGGGUGAGCGAAUCUCGGAAAGCCGGUCUCGGUUCGGAUUGGGGUCUGCAACUCGACCUCAUGAAGUCGGAGUCGCUAGUAAUCGCAGAUCAGCAACGCUGCGGUGAAUGCGUUCCCGGGGCU